rnacentral:tRNA from 1 species
GGAUGGCUCAGUGGUUAAGAGCACUGACCUGCUGUUCCAGAGGUCCUGAGUUCAAAUCCCAGCAACCA